CAGAUCUCUGUCAAGGAGGUCAAAAUCAAUACGGGGGAUGGACGAGCAGAAAUCAAACUGCGAAGAAAAUGACUCUGAACCAACAGCUGAUGACAAUGCCCCUUCGAAGCAGUUUGUAUCAUCUGAGGAGGAGUCCAAAGCCCUUCCUGCUACUGAAGACCUGUCUGGUGCUACAGCAGCCUCGUCUAGCACACCUGUGUAAGUUAUUAAUUCCAACCAUUAAUUAUAUUAUCCACAGUGUUGUGGUCUAUAUCUCAACCAGCUGCGAAUUGUUGGCAACACCAACAACCAAAUCUCUAUUUGUGUUUUGAACAAUUUUGUUUUUUGACUCCACAGUGAGAGCGUUCGAGCCUGUGCGCUUUGCAACUGUGUGGAGCGGAGCCUGCAUGGACAGCGGGAACUGAGACACUUUGGGCCAUCUUCUGAGCGGACGAUCCUCAAGCCAUUAGCUCCCCCACUGCCACAGCCCGGGAAUGAUGACCUGUCUUCCAUUGGAUUUUCCGAUUCCCCAUGUCUGGCAUCAUUCUUUGACGACUCAGGUUGAACUCAAAACAUUUUGCUAUUAUAUGUAAUUUGUGUACAUUCAAUAAGUGCAUUUAUAAAUUAAUCGUACAAUAGGUUCCAUCUACUAGAAAUACAUUAGAAGUGUAGAAUUUAAUUACUGAUGUCGUGCUUUAUAAUGAACAGGGGGUUGUUUGGUUCAUCACUGGUGUGCGGCGUGGUCGGAGGGAGUUAAACGGAUGGAGAAUGAGGAGCUGGAGAACGUGGAUAAGGCCGUUAUCUCAGGGACACAGCGGGUAAGUUCACAUAGACUUGGAUUGGAUGGUAUCAGGGGAGAAUAUAGGGAUUAACAGGCUUCCUUCACAAAAUCUUACUUGUUGUUAUCAUUGGUUUGUUCCAGCUUUGCGAAUACUGCAAAAGACUGGGUGCAACCAUUCAAUGCCAUGCUGAGGGCUGCUCGCGGUUCUACCACUUCCCCUGCUCGGCAGCCAGUGGAUCCUUCCAGUCCAUGAAGCAGUUGGUCCUCCUUUGUCCAGAGCACAUAGACAAGGCAGAGGAGUUGGGUAAGAGAACCAGAUAUCUUUGUCAAAAUUGCGUUGUCAUUACUUAGGGCAUGCUCAUAGCAAGGCGUGUGCUAAGCACACAUUACAAAUAGGUUU
rnacentral:lncRNA from 1 species